GCUUUUCAUUUUGAUUCUAUUAGUGGUUUUUUCAAGAGUAAUGGUGGAGAUUUCAGAUUUGACUUGUUAUUUCAGCUAGGUUUUAGGGUUUUAUAAAUUAAGAGCUGGUUUGAUGAUGUUUUAGUUGGAAUUUGUGUAAAUCUGAGUGGAUUUAUGAAGUAGAGUUGUAAGAUUGAAGGAAUUUCAGCUGGAGAAAAGGUUGAGGUUCUAUGGCGAAGAAACAGAUUUGGAAAUUGGAAUUGAGUUAGAGAAGAAGAGGAGACGGGCAGACCGCAGACGGCUAGGUUUCUAGCAGAAACUUAUGCUGUUAUGUUAUAUAUAGUGGGGGUGGGAUAGGAAUAACAGAUAUUAGUGGGGGUAUAUAAGUAUAUAACUUAACUAUAUAUAAACUCGAGCUACUCGGCUCGGCUCGAAUAAAGCUAGGGCUCGGCUCGAGCUCGAGACGAGCCUAAAAUCUGCUCAAGCUCGGCUCGUUUUACAAGAUGAGCGAGCCCGAGCCGAGCUUUUUUCGAGCCGAACACGAGCCGAGCUCGAGCUGCUCAGCUCACAUAACACCCCUAGACUCAAGGUGCAUUAUGCACCAUGCUCUGCCGAUGCACUAUUUAUUAGUGCUGUAAGGGGUAAGGUUUUGAAUUUGGGACUUGGAAUUAUGUAAAUAGAGGUUUGUCUCUAUGGGUAGUGUCAACCUGACGGUACCUUGUGUACGCUGUUCAGGCAGUGUAAGUGGAUUGAGUGAAUAUAUUUCUACAUUUUAUCAAAAAAAAACAAUUAAAAGAUCUAAUUCUAAAAAAUGUUUAACACAAAUGUCGAGGUCAAUCCUACACCACCAAAAAACAAUAACCAAUAUCUAAAUGACACAUGUAAAGUGAUUUACUUUACCAAGUUAAACCCACAUUCUAACCGAACUGAACAUAUUCUUUGUUGUUGAAGCUAAACCUUAACUUCAAACCCUUAUCUUCCUAUCAUCAUCUUCAAACCCUUAUCUUCCUAUCAUCAUCUUCAAACCCUUAUCUUCCUAUCAUCAUCUUCACCCCAUUGUCUUCAGAUCAUCAUCUUCACCCCGAUCUUCUUCAAUUUUUGUUCUAACUUUAUCAAAUGGCUAGUUUAUUCAUUUUUUCACCCCAUUUUUAUCUAAUUGAUUUUUGGGUGAUGUAGGAUUGACCUCGAGAUUUGUGUUAAAUAUUUUUUAGGAUUAGAUUUUUUAGUUGUUUGUUGUUAGAUUAACCUAGAGAUGGGUUUAAGAUCUACGGUUGGAAACAAAACCACCAAAGUGUUGCUUACGUGGCAGUUUAAGUGGUUUUAUAGAGUUGGGGGCAAAGGCUAAACAAAAUGGAGGGGUAGUUUGGGUAUUAGAAGAAAAAGGAAGCAAUUUUAUGGGGUAUUACUAAACAAAAAAAAAAUCUAGGGGCAUUUGCAAACUUGGCAUUCAAAUCUGGGGGCAAUUGCUAAUUUUUUUCUUAUUUUGUUGGCAAGAGAGGUUGUGGGGACCCCUUCCCCUUUUAAAUUACGUGUGGAAACUUAUAUCAACAAUCCGCUGUUAACGUGUUUCGAACCCACGACCUCUCCACUUUGUGAGAGGAGUGCUACCAUUGAGCCAUAGGCUCAUUCGCUUGGGGGGGGGGGGGGGGGACAAUCUUUAAUUACCUCUUUUUUUUUUUUUUUAUUAGGCUGUUGGAAAUGUUUUGAGUGGUCAAAACAUUUGUAUAUGAAUGAAAAAUUAAACUCCUAAGUUAUCCACUAAUCAUGACUAACUUGUGUUAUAGUAGAUAAAUAUGUAUGUAUUUUACAUACAUUGUAUUUGGUCCAACCCAUCCCAAUCGGUGUGUCUUUCCCCAAUGGACACAUACUUUGUAAACACGUAUUCUGAAUAGGUGUGUCUGUUCCCAACAGGUAUUGGGUCAGGUGUCUAUUCAAAUAUACAUUGAAUAGACAUGUGCCUUUUUGAAAAGGUGUUUUUCCUACUAUAUAAGUGUGUCUUGUGUUUGUAGUCAAAUCAUUUUUCAAUCAAAUUUGUUUUCCAUCUUCUAGUGUAUGUGUCUUGUCAUGAGAGAGUAUAACAAAGAAUUGGUUCGCCGUCUUUUAUGCGUUUGAAGUGCUGCUACGCUAAGAAGGAUAGAUCGUUGUAUCCUGAGAGACAAUCCGCCAUUGAUAAAUCGUUCGGCAUAUGUACAGGGCGAAUAAUAUCUUAAGAAAAAAGAUUUUAUCUCGACUCGAUUUAAAUCUUGUCAUUCAUCCAUUUAUUAUGGUUUGCAUCAUCUAUUCUCUUUUAUUUAUUUUAGAACAGUAAUAUAUCGGUGUAUAUUUUCUUACAUAGGCAUCAAGGCAUCAAGCCAUCAAGCAUAUGCUGAUAAUAGCAAUUUCCCGGCUUACUUGGCACAUAAAAUUCAAUGGGGAAGUUGAUGCCAUGGAUAUUAUAAAACAACUUGCGCAUUCCCUGAUUAAACAACAUUAGUAUUCCUGAGCAAACCUAGCAGAUUACAUUGUUUUGUUGCUCAUUAACAUUGUCCUUUUGUCCUAAUGUUAAAGUUGCUUUUACAGAAGCGGCAAGAAGAAGAAAAUGAAAUGACAACAAAAAGAAUGACUACCAUUAGAUGAUGAAUCACUGACUGUUCCAAAUAUAUCUCUGUCCAUGCAUUUCAUAAUUGAAACACUUGUGAAACUCUCCAUCUUGCCUAAUCAAGACUAACACAGAACAACAGUUUGUGCUUGCAAUCUAUUAAACUUCUUUCACCAGACCAUUCUUCAUCUUGCAUAAUCAAGACUUACACAGAACAAAACUGCUAUAUUUAGAUAACCAAGCACAUAUAGCUUUGCUCUGUAACAUCCAUAUGCGAAAAAUGAGCAAUGUUUGAUAUCACCUUUACAAAAUGGUCACAAUUUAGAAACAGAUUAUUACAUAUUUACAUGUAUCUUUCUCACCUUCUAAGCCUUAAAACUAAAUGAACAUCCAUUUACACAAGAAAUAUUACUUGAAUGGAUCACUAUUUAAUAUUUAUGUUAACCUUGUUCCUGAUAACUUGUGUAAUUGAUAGAGAUUUCUCGAAAUAAAAACCCGAUAUGCUGAAUUCAAAUCUUUGACUGUUCUUCAGGAAGAAAAGCAUAGGAUGUCUACAAGUAUGCUAGCUCUAGUAGUGAGUCACUGACAGACAUGUUGGUAAUGGGAGCACUGUCGCACUGAUUCUUGUUGCAUCUACGUAUCCACGAAUUGGGCUCAAACAGGCCCAUAUUGCACAAAAGCAUAGGAGGACGUACGUACGUCGAAAUCACGUACGUACGUUACAACACAGAGAAGUUAUCUGGCGUACGGGACGUUCGUACGCCCUAACUACGUACGUACGCCCCUGUACAAGUAAUACAACGUUCGUACGUCGAAAUCACGUACGUACGUUUCUUCCCGAAACAGUUAUCUGUCACAUUGAACGUACGAACGCCCUAACUGCGUACGUACGUUCCUGAGUGAAAAACUUCCCUCCGUCUGAAUUUGCACAUAAAACCCAACACCAACAAAUGCACCACCAUGAUGACCUGAUCCAUAAUAUCAAAUCUAUAUAUACGGGAGAUUGGGUUAUAUACUUAUAUCAAAUCUUUAUUGGAGAUUCUAAUAAAUAUAAUUGGGUUUUCUACUUUUCUUUGUAAAACUAUGGCUUUUGCCAUAUCUCAUUGAGACUGCAAGAUUUAAUUAUGUGUUUGGUUUCUUCUGUUUAAUUUACUCUUGUCUGAACCAUGCUAGAUAGAUGUAUAGCAUGGGAAAUUAACAACAACAGUGGAAUUGGGAUUAGUAAGUUCAGUUGAUUAGUAAUCUAUUAAUCAAUCUGAUUUGAGGACUAAUGAGACAACUUAGCAGAUUACAUGGUUUUGUUGCAUAUCUUUUUAUUUUUUAUUUUUUUACGCUAAUGGUAAAGUUGAUUUUACAGAAGUGGCCGCAAGAAGAUGAAAAUGAAAAUAAGCAAAAAGAAUGACUGUCAUUAGAUGAUAUAUCUCCUGUUGACAUUGAUAACCUAUUUCCAGCAUCAAACACAAUUCUAGAAACACAAUUGAAAUUUGACUCUCAAAACUUUUAUUAAUGGCAUCUUUAGUCUUAACUCCUCCUGCUGCCAUAGAGUUUCUCUGUUCCUACUUCCCAUCUGCAUUCCUUGUGUUAGUUAGGGAAAAAAGUCCUCAAAAUCCAACGGCGUUUUUCGUAGUUGCAACAAGAAUCUACGUAUCUAUUAAACUCCAUUCACCAGACCAAUCUUUGUCUUGCACAAUUAAGACUUACACACAGAGAAACUUCUAUUGUUAGAUAACCAAGCAUCAAGCUUUGCUCUAUAAAAUUCAUAUGCCGAAUAUAAGCAAAUGGUUCAAUUAUCACUGUUACAAAAUGGUCACAAUUUAGAAACAGAUCACUACAUGUAUCUUUCUCACCUUUUAACGCUGAAACUAAAUGAGCAUCCCUUCACACAAAAAAUACUACUUGAAUGAAUCACUAUUUAUGUAGACAUGGUUCCUGAUAACUUGUAAUUUAUACAGAUUUCUAUAAAAUAAAAAAUAUGGAAGCAUACAAUAAAUGACCAGUCAAUCCAGCAUAAGCCGACUUCACAUCUUUGACAGUUCUUCAGUAAGAAAAGCCUGGGAUGUCUACAAUGUCCAAGAGCACUGCGUCAAAUAAGUUAGGCCUCUAUUUCCAAUGCAAAGAUGCUAGAGCACCACCGAUGAAAGGGAUUAUAUGUCAUUAUGAACUACCGUUCAAGUGUUUCAACUCAUCUAUGUCACCCUUACACUUCAUCGUCAAGCCUUAUCUUUGUCAGAACUCACAAGCUCCAUCUUUUUAACAUAAAAGGGGUCUGCCUGAUUUACCUUGUUGUGCGAGUUUCUCAUACCUGGAUAAUGGUCAUCUCAUCAAACACUUGUAUUUCCAUGCUGCGUUGCAGAUGAAGCAAAAGUUCUGCAUAAUCAUCUCUGGUCAUAAAUCAAUGACCAACAAGCUGUAUGUUUUAUUCUUUCAAAGUAUCCAAGUUGUUGUUUGGGUUCUGGUCCUUCCCCCUCCAAAUAAUGAUUUGACUAUCUUUGAAUAAAAUUGGAACACAAGGUACCAGUUCCUGCAUUGAAGAAAAGGAAAAAAGAAAAGAAAAUUGUAAUUUAAAUUAUGCUGUUCAGAAUUGCUCCAAAAAUAAGAUAUAAGUGUAUGGUGUCAUACCUUAAGCUUCACUCCAAUCUUCUUGCAGUCACUAGUUUCCACAUGUGAACAAUCUAACCUCACAACCUCUUCAGUUUUGAAGGCCUCCCUUACCCUUGCCACCACAUUGACAUAGACCCCGUUCCUGGCUGAAGAUGAUGAUCAAUCAAUUCUACUUACAAUUAACCAAAAAAGACACAUUUAGAGUCAAAUCCACUUACUGAGUUUCAUUAAAGCUGGUGAAUUUAACCCUCUGUUCCUCAUCUCUUUUGUUUCCUCAAAUGUUAGGCCUUCAGCAAUGUUUUUCACAAGCUUCGGAUAGAUUGGUGCUAAGGGUUUCCAUAGCAUCAGAGGAAUAACUGGCCGAUUAUUAGGGUCAUAGUUUCGCCCACGGUACAGAAGAAGAAUAUUUAUGUUACGAUAUAUUAUUCUUCCACCAGUUUUGUCCUACAUAUAGGACCACAUAUGUAUAUCAAGAACACCGUUUUAGAAAUUUUACAGAAUUUGAGAAACUCACGGAAAACUGAUAAAAGUCAACAUUAUUUUACCUCAAGGUGAAAGCAAACAUUGUCCAUGUCAAGUGUUGGCACCCCUAAGCAUUUGAUCCUCACAGCAUCAGCUCUCUUCCAAUGGUUAUGGAUGUCAUCCAACAGGUUGUGCGUUACUCCCCCUUUGCCUAACAUGAAAUUAAAGUUCACUUAGUGAUGAAUCCAUCAGCAAUAUAUAACAAUUACUGAGAUGGAAAAUAGGCUGGGCUGACAACAGAAACAAAGAUAUCCAUGAUCAUGCAAACUAGCAUCUGUUUCAAAGGGAGACAAACUAAGCCUUAGCCUAAAGUUUUUGAUCGGCUGAAAGAACAUCGCUCAUUCUGUUCCAUCAGAAUUACGUCCUAUGACAACUUUAGUGCCUAAAAGAGUCUAAUGACCUGUUGGUCAAAGUUAAGGGAUUUGGACCCAACGCCUUGAUGUCAGCUCCCACCUUUUUGCUUUUCUAUGGGUGGCGUUUUUCUCUUAUCACCACUCUGAGCACCAGAGCCAAAAUUGAAGACUUUUUUUAAGGUAAUAAAUUUCCACAAAUCCAGGAUUCUCAAUGUUUUCUUUAAUAGUUAUUCACUUAUUCUAUUCAAUAUCUUCAUGGUAGUCGUGAAUUUGUUGAUUCUAGAUGCCCACAUAAAGCUUAGUUCUUUUAUUGCAAGAUUAUCAACUUACGAAUUUAUGGGUGAAAUGUGUAAACCAUCUGAACUCAAAACCAUACGAUGAGAAAAAAAAAAAACUCAUCCCUCAUAUCAUGAAAUUUGUCAUUUUGCUGUCAAGCUAAGAAUGGGUGAUAGAGAGGCAGCAGCAUGGCAGAAUCAGAGCGCAGCAUCAGGUCCAUACGGGAUAAAACAAGUUAAACAUAUUUAUAUUAUGAAAAGAAUUCUUAUAACUCAUGUUUAUUAGCUAGUGUGCUAACAAUAGUUGACUUGAGGCAACAAGAGACUUUAACAUUUUAGGGUUCCAUGACAUUGUCUUAAAUAAGAUUCCAAGUCUUGGAACCCUAAAAUGUUAAUUCUUAAACUAUAAAACAACGUAUAUAUUAAUAUAGGAUAUGAGUUAUUUGUAGUUUAAGAAUUUCAUGACUUUGUGUUAGAUGGGAUAUGAGCUUAUUUUAUCGUUUGGUCUUUUAGACUUCCAUGAAGUUACCUUAGUGCAUCACCAACGCAAAGUGCAUAACUGACACUCCACAUGAGAUCCACAUAAUUUUUGUUUAUUUUUUUAAUCUUUGAUGAAUUAUACAAGACUACGUAAUGGGACCCAGCGUGUAAAAACACUGGAGCACCAAAGGGAAGUGUACGAUCCCUACCAAACCAAACACUGGGAACCAGGUGAUUUGGCGCACAUUCAGAAAACUGAUUCCAAGUAACUUUGCCCUAGGUGGAGUGACACUGGAAGAGAACAGUUGGUGAAAAUCGGCUAAACUGAUUCCAGUUAAAGUGGAGUGUGAUGUGCGAUGUUCACUGAAUCAAGAAGACUUGUUUAAUAAUUUCAAUUUUUUUUUCUUUUCUUUUUUUUUUUUUUUUUUAUUUCCGAGACAAUAUUUUAUUGAUUUUUUUUUAUUUUUUUUAUUUUUUGAUUGUUAAAACAAAUUGCAUUAAAAAGUGUGAGAGGUUCACACUAGCCCAAAUUACAACCUGAGUAACUCAGUGUGCAAAUAAAUUGGUAAAGCCCCUGAAGCACUUUAUCAACUUGCCCACUCUCAAUAAUUCUACAAAAGAUCUGCCCACCAGACCUACCAAUUGAUAUAGCAUACACCUUAAUAAGUUCCCCCUUGCAAGAUUAAAAUACAUUGGAAACAGAGUCUGUCUUUUCUGAUCCUUUCACACACUGUGGUGGCCCUUUUUCUUUUUCGCUCUAACGUACACCAAUCUUACCAGCCGGAUUUGGGUAUUACACGCUCUAAGGAUAAACCAUACAGAUACUGCAUUACUCUCCACUUCUAUACCCUUAUCUUUCCUAACACAAGCCAAGGCAGAAUUCAAUUCCAUCCCUGCUUCUUGAGUUUCCUGAACUCUUGAGACGUUCCCAACAUCAUCGGAAACAGCUUGUUCCGACCCAGAGUCCUCUGCAAUCACAUUAUCGUUUGCAAACGAAUCCUCUUGAGGUUGCUCCGACUCACUAUACUCUAUCAUAUUUUCGUUUUCAAACGAAUCCCCCAUCUCACUAUUAGUGGUUGGCAGCGAUUCCCACUCACUUUCACCAUCAGUCAUGCAUUCUUCUGCCCAUUUUAUGACCUUCCUCGAGCCCAUAUUUUCCCCUGGAUUUGAAAGUUGAAAUACUUGUGGCCUAACACAUGCUGGGCCUCUAUUGCUGGGGUCCACCCAAACUGAUCUCAAGUAAUUCUGAGCAUCUGAUAUUGAAUCCUGACUCAUCUCAGGAUAUAAGUCUUCAUUUUGGGCCUGAAGCCGAUCUGACACAAUUUCAGAUCUUAUCUGAUAACGUGGCAUGUUGUCUUCCGCUAAUGUAUUUGAAAUUUGAAAAGAAGCUUCUGUGCUCUUUUCUCUCUCAUCCCUUGAUUCAGUACACUCGACCAUAUUGUUGGUAGUUGCGUCUCCACCUCCCUGAUCACCCUCUCCUUUGCCACGUCAGCAAACCACUACUCUCUGGGCACCUCCCACCUUUUGAGUAGUCACGGAGGGUGGAUCUAUUACCUCCCUCCUCCCAGCACAACACAUUGUUUCAAUGUUUGCUUUGAAAGCAACCCAUCCACUGAAGUCCUCACCAGCCGGAACACAAAUUGUGACCUUCCCCUUCGGUAGUUGCUUUGAGAUGAACAUCAUCGAGACGAACCUACCAUGUCGGUUCUCUCUCACGACCAUCUGGACAGUUACGUCUUUGAACUUAUCUUUCCCCAACAAUCCCUGAUCUCCUGAUCUAUCCUCAAGAACUUUCAUCCUCUCGCUUGACACCCAGCUCCCUUUCGAUUCACCUUAAGGGUAAAAUCCUUUCCCUUUUCUGUUAAUCUCACCUUGUUAUUUCCAUCACUCUCAAGCUCGAAAGUUUUCCCAUCGAUUUUGAAAGUUUUUGUUCGUCGCUCCAUUGCUCAAGAACUUAUAGAUCACUCAAUAACUUCCCUUCAUUGAGUACAUAAAACAGUUUGUUCCAAGAAGAUUAAUUAAAAGAAUUUAUAAUAUUUUAAUUAUAAAACAGUUUUACAAAGGCAAAAGAAGAUGUGUGACAUAGAUCCUCACGGUCAUCUUUAAAAAACUAAUAAAGGAAAAACAAAUGAAAAGUCAAAACCCCAUAAACUUCUUCAAAACUAAAUCCUCUUCUCUCCAUGGUUUACAAAUGCCAAUACCACAAAGUUGCAUUGACCUUCAUCAUCAGCUUAUCAACUAUUGGCACCCAUCCCUCAAACGAAUAUUCAUGCAUUGAUCUCCAAGUGGACCAUAAUACUACAGUAGCUACAGUUCCCUUCGAAGGUUUUCUUUCAUGCCAUUUAUUGGAGCUGUGGUUGGAUCGCAAUAGGAGACUUUAUGAAUUUUUGAAGAUAAAGAGGCCGCCUCUUCUAAAGCCAUCUCCUUAAUUACGUUUACAGUGUGGAAAUGGACUUAUUUCCUUCCCCUAUGAGGUCAUAAUUGACGAUUUUAGGCUAAAUUGGGGAAACAUUAUGUUGGGCUGGGUAGCGAUUUUUCUCAACCAUAUUUCCAUGACUAAUAUAGUUCAUAUAGUUUCUUCCCCCAAGUCAGCCCUAUUAAAGGCUGAACCUCAUAUACUUUCACCGAAAUGAAAUAAUUCCUGACCUGUUCUGUAAAGGAAGAACAAAUGAUCAAUGGACCUUGGAGUUAGCCUGCACAGGGCACACUAUAGUUGUACAUCCAUUCAUUUGGCUGUGAAGCAAAACCUUUCUGUAACUUUUACCCCAAGUUAUACACACCAAAAUAAAAAUCUCACUUUGAGAGAAACAUGCAACCCCAACACCUUCUGUAGUGAGAAAAAACACUGCCACUGAAGCUCAUCAUUAUUUCAGAUAUCAUACAUGGUCUUUGCAGAGAAGACUUUGUUUCUGCCCCACCUUCAACCUAACUGGCCCAACUGAUCAUUAAGAGCAACCACAUGUAGCAGCUCAACCAAUAGCAACCUAUGACCACCUAGUAACAACCCAUCCAAAAAUGAAAAUUCCAUGUCCCACCACCUGUAUUGCCAGUGAUGUGCUACAGUUCCAGCUUCAACAUGAAGAGGAGUGAAAUUCCCUAACCAUUAUAUCGCAUCAGAAUCUUCCUAGUUCCCACCAUUACCUAGAACAAGCUGAACUACAUGAAGGAUCUCAUCAUUUGAAAGUGUCCAGGGGUCUAUUAGUCAAGACUUGGGAGGUUGGGCCCAAGGUCUUUGGAUCGAGUCCCCUUUCAUGGUUUGAAAGGGAUUAGGGUGAAAUAUUUGUAACAAUCAAAAAAAAAAAAAAAGGAUCUCAUCAUUUGAAGCUUAAAUGUCUCUCCACAAGGCACACCCAUGGGUAGAAUGCACAUGAUUUAUUUUUUAUCACCCCAUUUCCUUCUCUCCAUAUUUAUAUGCAAUUAUUCCUCUCCACUAGCGAUCCUGUUCAAAUCCACAACGCCACAGCCACUUCCCCUAGAGAGCCAAAUUAAACUCGUUUAAGUUUCCUGAUGUUUAAGCCAGCCAUCUUCUUGAGCUCUUGAGUUUAUUCUACAUCAUGUGAUAUCCAAUUCUCUGGCUCCAAGUUGGUGCAAAUUGCAACUUGUAAUCUAGAAACUUGCAGUAAUUAGGGUAACCACUACCAUUCUUUUGCGUGUUCAAUAUUUGAAAAUGAUAUAACUUUUUAAAUAACAUUAGAGUUCAUAAUUUUAGUUGGAAUAUUUCUGAAUAAGAUAACACGGUUUAGAACCACAAUUUCUGUCAUCUCUAUCCUAAACAAAUAUAAACAUAGCAUCUCUACGCAAAUUAGCUCAAGCACUAUCAUCUCCAAUUCAAAGACAUUAUCUUGUUAUUUAAGGCUUUAAGCAAGCAUUACCAAAUUCAGAAAAAAAAAAAAAAAAAAUCGAACUUAAAAUCCAAUCAAGUUUAAUAGAAUGCAAAUCAAUUUACCUAGAUUAAUUUGUCGAUUGCAAUCGUUAUGCCGAUACCGUUCAACAAGCUCAUCAAUUUCUUCAUCAGUAAGUGGUUCACCAAGCACUAACUUCCUUUCUUCCAAAAACUUCUCCAAAUUCACACAUUCUUCUUCUACUGGAGCUGAAGUUCCAGUCCAUUUCCGAUCAAGUCUUCCAGGACCAAAUGGUGAAAACUUUGGUGGUUCUCGAAAUCCAAUUGGUUUUAUAGAUGGAUUACUUUCAGAAUAAGAAUACCUAAAAUCAAAUGGAAGUUCAGAUCGAAAUGCCAAUUUCUCUUCUUUUUUCAAAUCACAAUCAACUAAAUUAGUAACUUUUUUAGGGUUUUUCUUACUUGAUUUCUUCGAAAUUUGUGUAAAAGGAGGAUCAUAGAUAUCUUCAUUAUCAGGUAAACAACUUGAUUGAUUCAAAGAACGAGUUAUGAUUAGGGUUUGAAUAGAUGAAUAACGCCAUGAUCGAAAUCCAAGCUUCAACAACAUCAUGAGAAGUGAAAGUGGAAGGGUAGUUCUGUAAUAUUAGAAAAAAAAACGUGUUCUUUAACUAAAGUCAGUCUUUUUACCGCAUUGCGGUAUAACAAAAGUAAAGUUGUUUCCUUUUCUUUAUUCUUUCGAGAGCUUCUAGGGUUUUUCACAGAAGUAACGAUGGAAAACAAAGAAGAAGAAGAAGAAGAAGAAGAAUCGCAAAAGCAUUACAAUCUUGGAGUUUUGUUAUGGAAAGAAGAAGAGAGAGAGAAAGCAGUUGAGCAAUUCGUUAUAUCAGCAAAACUAAACCCUAAUAAUGGUUCAGCAUUUAGAUAUUUAGGGCAUUAUUAUAGUAAGAUUUCAAUUGAUAAAUCAAGAGCAUUAAAGUGUUAUACAAGAGCAGUGAAUUUGAAUCCUGAUGAUUUUGAAGCUGGAGAAGCAUUAUGUGAUUUGUUAGAUGAAGAAGGGAAAAGAAGUUUGGAAAUUGUUUUAUGUAGAGAUACAUCUGAGAAAUCUCCGAAAGCAUUUUGGGCAUUUAGAAGAUUAGGUUAUUUACAAGUGGAAAUGAAGAAAUGGUCUGAAGCAGUACAAAGUUUGCAGAAUGCUAUAAGAGGUUAUCCUAGUUGUGCUGAUUUGUGGGAAGUUCUUGGUUUAGCUUAUCAAAGAUUAGGUAUGUUGACAGCUGCGUUAAAGUCGUAUGCGCGAGCAAUUGAGUUAGCAGAUACAAAUUUGAGUUUGAGAGUGUUUGCAUUGGUUGAGAGUGGGAAUUUGUUGUUGAUGCUUGGUAAUUUUAGAAAGGGUAUUGAGCAUUUUCGGUUGGCGUUAGAGGUUGUGCCACAGAAUGCUGCUGCGAAUUUUGGACUUGCUUCGGGAUUGCUUGGUUUGUCAAAGGAAUGUGUUAGUUCUGGAGCAUUUAGUUGGGGUGCUUUGUUGUUGGAGGAAGCGGCUAGUGUUGCGAAAGCUACUACUUGUUUGAUUGGUAAUGCUUCUUGUGUGUGGAAGUUGCUUGGUGAUAUUCAGAUUGCUUAUGCAAAAUGUUUACCUUGGACAUAUGAUGAUAAAUCACAAAGCUCGAUAAAUUUUGAGGCUUUUGGAGUUUCCAUCAUUGCUUGGAAACGUAAGUGUUUAUUCUCUGCAGUUUCUGCUAGUCAUUCUUAUCAGAGGGCUUUGCGCUUGAACCCAUGGCAGGCUAACAUAUACAUAGAUAUUGCAAUAUCUGUCGACCUUAUUCAUUCGUUGGAGGAGGAGAAGCAGGAUCAAGAUGCUUGGAAACUUCCAAGUAAGAUCUCCCUUGGUGGUUUGUUACUUGAGAAAGACAAUAGUGACUUUUGGGUGGCAUUGGGAUGUCUAUCUCGAUAUACUGCAUUGAAGCAACAUGCACUUAUCAGGAGUUUGCAAUUGGAUGUAUCUCUUGCCGUUGCGUGGGCAUAUCUCGGAAAGUUGUACAGAAAGGAGGGUGAGAAGACAUUGACAAUGCAAGCAUUUGAUCAUGCUAGAAGCAUAGAUCCUUCCCUUGCAUUACCUUGGGCCGGCAUGUCUGCUAAUAUUGAUCAGCCUGGAGGGUACACGCAUGCUGAGGCGUAUGAAAGCUGCCUUCGAGCUGUACAAAUAUCUCCACUUGCAGAAUUUCAAAUCGGUCUGGGGAAACUUGCUUUCCUUUCUGGCCACCUGUCAUCUCCACAGGUGUUUGGUGCUAUUCGGCAGGCAGUGCAGCGUUCUCCUCACUUUUCAGAGGUGCAUAAUUUGAAUGGGUUGAUAUCUGAAGCACGCUCAGAUUAUCAGUCAGCUGUUGUUGCUUACAAGCUUGCUCGUUGUGCCACUAAUAUUUCGGAAGGACCUGCUACAGAAUCUCACCUCUUUGAUAUAUCAGUUAAUAUGGUGCGAGCUCUUUGUUUGUCUGGAGACGCCCUAGAAGCUGCACGUGAAUGUGAAGAUUUGCAGAAGGAAGGUAUGCUUGAUAGCAUGGGUUUACAAAUAUAUGCUGUCUCUUUGUGGCAACUUGGAAAGCAUGAACAGGCCCUUUCUGUAGCAAGACUCCUAGCUGCAAAUGUUUCUACCAUGGAUCCAUUAACAGCUGCAGCCUCCAUAAGUUUAAUCUGUAAGUUGUUAUACCAUAUUUCGGGGCAAGAAUCUACCAUGACUAGCAUUUUAAGAAUGCCGAAAGAUUUAUUAAAGAAUUCAAAAAUCAGUUUUAUUGUAUCUGCGCUUGAUGCUCUAGAUCAUAGUAAUCAACUUAAGCAAGUUGUUUCAAGCACUCGCACCUCCCUUACAUCAUAUGAAGAGAUUUCUGGAAUGCAUUCUUUAAUUGCCCUCAGUAAAUCAAUGAGAAAUGGAACAGAUCAAAGCCUGGGAAGUCAGAGUGGAAUUGCUCAUCUGAGAAAAUUUCUUCAUGUGUACCCUAACAGUAGUACUCUAAGGAAUCAACUUGGUUAUCUCUUGCUAUGUAGUAAAGAAUGGAAAGACAUUCAUACUGCAGUAAGGUGUAUUGUGAUAGACCCUCCUGGCCACCCAGUUCAAAGUCGAAGAUCAGCACUUGAGAUCCUUGGUGCUGCAGGAAUGGCUUGUUCUGAAAUCGGUACCACCUACCCCGGAUUUUCUUUUCCCACUUGUAAAGAUGAGUUCAUGCAUGGAGCUCAAAUCAUUCAACAAUUACAGAGAUGGUUGCAUCAAGAACCAGGGAAUCACAAUGCACGGUAUUUGCUUGUUCUUAAUCUUUUGCAGAAGGCACGUGAAGAGAGAUAUCCUAGGCACCUCUGCGUUAUGCUUGAAAGACUUGUACAUGGUGCUCUUUCAAGUAAGAUAUAUUCAGAGAACAUUGUGUCUUUUCAAUAUCAAAAGUUACAGCUUCUACUUUGUGCUUCUGAAAUCAGCUUUCAAAGUAGGGAUUACGUCAGCUGUAUAGACUAUGCAACACAUGCAUCAAGGCUUUCAGUUCCUGAUAAUGUUCUCUUUUUCGUACACUUGUUUUUAUGUCGAGUUUAUGGAUCUCAAGGUGAUAUAACAAAGUUACGGGAAGAAUAUACAAAGUGCUUGUAUCUCAAAACAGGGUAUCCAGUAGGUUGGAUAUACCUCAAAUUUCUUGAAUCCAAAUACAGGCUACAGGUUGAUUUCGGUACGGUAGACACAAAUUUAAAGGAAUGUUUGGAAGAGAAGAGUUGUCCGGAGAACAAGUGGACUGGUAUCUUUGAGGUAGUGCGAUGUCAGAACUAUAUAUGGGAUCAGAAUUUUCUUCAAGCAGAGGAAAUUAUGCAAAGUAGUUUAUUAGCUGGUUCUUCUGAGAGUUGCCUCUUUCUAUGUUACGGGGCCAUCUGCUUGCAACUUGCCAGGAUGAACUGGAACUCCCAUAUUCUAGAACUUGCAGUGAAAUGCCUCACCAAAGCUCAAGAAACGUCCUCUACUCCUUUACCUUUUAUUUCGGUUUUGCUAGCUCAAGCACAAGCAAGCCUUGGUUCCAAGGCAAAGUGGGAGAGAAGCCUACGGCUUGAAUGGUAUUCAUGGCCACCAGAGAUGAGGCCUGCAGAGCUGUACUUCCAAAUGUAUUUGCUGGCAAGACACCAGAAAACUGGACUUGACUCUUCAUCAAACUCAGAUCAGAGAUCAAAUAGGUUGAUACUUCGUGCAAUACAUUUGAACCCCUCUUGUUCAAGAUACUGGAAGCUUUUGUGCAAGAUCAGAAAUGAAUGAGAAAAUCUUUACUUCUAGUCCUCAUGUUUGUUCAUCUUUUGUUUCCUAACAAGGGCUUCGUCCACAGCUUUGUUGUACAACAACUAUUUUUUGUUUCAAGUUCUAGAUUAGAUUGGUUACACGACCUCAUAGAUGAGAACAAGAAAACAAGAAAAUGGGAGUGAGCUCAGGCCUCAGGAUCCCAAAUCUCUGUUGUUAUAGAAUAAGUUCAUUUUUUUUUAAGGGUAAGCAACUAGGCAUUAUGCAUGUAAUGAAAAUUGUAUUGUUUGUCUGCUGAUUUGUAUAUAAUGUUGCUUUGAGAAAAGGAAGCAGGAAAAAUUGACUUGGAAUUGAGGUGUCUUAUACCCAUUUAACACACUAUCUGAUUGUUUUUUAUGAGCUGAUGAACUAAAACCUGAAAUGAAUCACUACUCGUGGUUUUAGUAAUAAGCAGCUGAUAUCUAAUAAAAAAAAGUGUGCAUCCUAAAUCAGAAUAAGCAUGAUGAAAACUAGAAACACCCAUACCCGAGCAGCCUCAAGUGAAGAAGUCAGUAGGAUAAACAAAAGAACUGAAAGCAGUAAGCUUUUAAGGUAGGUACUGAAAUUGACUCUGGAAGUUCUUUGCAUGAACCAAUCAUCAUCAAAAUUCCGUGUAUUUAUAAUCUUGAAGAUCGUGAUUUAGUCUCACAAUGCCAGUUAUAGUACAACUUCUUUGGAAUAUAAACUUUCAUGUUUACAUUUGUAAACAACAAUUGUUUACACAUUCUCAAACUGAAAUGCAAUACAAUAGUUUGAAUUCCACAACACAAGUGUAUAAUUUAACAACUUGAAAUCAACUUCAAGAGCUCAGUAGCUUCUCUCAACCUCCUCUCAUGGCAUUCCUUUGCAGCAGGACAAGUCUUCCUGUAUAUGAAAUAUAAAGCAAGUCGAUGAGAAACAAUAGUUUUGGGUAAAGAAAUACAUGCACCAAAAUUUGAACUACUAAAUAAACCAGACCUCUUUUCAGUGACUUUCCUUGUAAGAUCUUUGACAAGCCUGUGUAGCCUCUUAAGGAGAGCUGGUAAGUUAAGAACAGAAGCCACACCUUUCUUUGUGGAGCACAAUUUCUUCAAAAGAUCGGAAGCAAUGAAAUACCCCUCUUCUUUGUUCCUGAAUGUUGAGCAGAAGAAAGUGAGCACAUGAAAAGUAGUAACAGAAAUUACACGGCUCUUAAUCCUCGGAACCAGUGAACCAACCUAAGCAUCUCCCUGAGGAUCGUUUCUGUAGAUCCUUUAGUAUCAAUCAGCACAUCAGCCAAAAGUGGAUAGCGAGAGAUGUUUCUAAGAGUAGAAAGAGCAUGUUUCAAAACCUCUUGAUCAGGGAUGCUACGACUCACAGAGCUAAUCAGCUUAAGCAAAGUCUCAACUGCUCCUGCAGCUACAAUUGUCUCACAGCAUCUCUCAGAAUGUGUGGUAGCAAUAUCUGAACAAACAAAGACAACCAUAACUCCAGUUAGAAAAGUACACGGCUUCUGUGGCAAGCUGCAAUACAUAUACACAAUGAUUUAUUUCAGAACAUAAAUUAGGGAUGAGUAAGCGUUCAGAGUGCAGAGCCUUUAGCUAAUAACUCGUAAGAACCUAAUCUUAACAUUAUUGUUGUUGUUUAUCUUAUUAAAUCUAUUCCGGUAUUCCCAAAUAGAAAAACACAAACACCAACAAUUUAUAAAAGAACCCAACAACAAAGAAUGGAAAGCAAAACACAGAAUGACACCGCGAAGCAUACUGAAGCCGUGAAGCGUAUCCAUGAAGACUAUUUUUUAUAAAGAUGGGUAAAAGUAAGUAACUAAAACACAGUGAAUCUUUAGAUACCUAGAGUUGAACAAGUAUGAAGAAUGCUACUAAUACUUCUCGUGUUCAGCAGUUCGGAAAGUGCACACACAAGUCGGUUGAUAAGACGCAUCCCAUCAUCCACAUUUGAACAAGAUCUCUGCACUCUGAAUCGUAGAUCCAAAAGUUGCCCUUUCAACUCUUUCCGUGCAAGAUAACCUUUCCAAUAUGACUGUCAUAUCUCCAAAAUAAGUCAAACCGAAAUAUAUAAUGGAUCCAUCAAAUCAAUUUAGCAGAAGAUAUAGUAGUUAGCUCAAGACUUCCAAGCAGAAAUAAAAUUAUGCAUGUUAAUGCAAUAAAAGAGGUACUUUAUCACCAACUGCAAAAGAGCAAGCUGCAAUAUACGUAUAAAGUUGCCAUGUGGACAGUGACUUGGUAAGUCUUUUUAUUGUACCCUUUCCCCUGUCCCUGGUGCUCAUCCAUCUGUCUUAUCUCUCUUAUAAGCCUAGUGCCUUAUCUCUCAAGACCAUGUUGGACAUUUGGCUGUGCUAAGGAGACAGUCUCGAUAUGAGAUAAAGCACUACACGAGAGAGUAAUAUGCACUUUUGCGUUUUCUAUCUUGCAUUUUAAUAAUAAGAUGAAUACUUAGAAUAAAUCUGCAAUGUUCAAUGCUAUUGAAAGAGUUAAUAUGCAUUUUUCCAAGUGAAUGAUCAAUUAAAAAAGGUUUGCACAACAACGAAGUGGUCUAUCUAGUCAACCAGACUUUUAUGAGAAGUUUAGAAGUUAUGCUGCAAAUUUGGUAAUCAUAAGACGUUCCUUUAAUCAUAUAUAUUUUUGGGUACUUAAAAUGUUUUAGAUUUAACAAACGACACCUUCUACUGAAACAAGAGAACAUAAAAUGCAUUUAGUAAAAGUUUAGAAACCACACAUUCAAAUAACCAUCGAUAAAAGAAAAUCCCUAAAAAUGGUUCAACUGACACAAGAGAACAUCAAAAUAAUUUACGAGAUUGUGGGGACAUCUUACUUGAAUCACAAUGAUACGGUGUUUUUCUCUACAAGCUUCUUGUUUAGCCAUCCACCCACGAAUAUAUGAUUGAAUGGUCAUUGCUGACCUCGUUUUCAACUUGAGUAAUAAAACUCUUUUCCACCACCUUUGCAGUUUCAUCACAGAAUACAAGAAAAUUUUGAAUUCAAGACUAAUGGUGCAGCCACUUGAAAUCAGACCUGUGGACCCAGUAGAGCGAUAGAAAGAAACACCUGCAGUAAUAUCAAUAAACAAAAUAUGGUCAUGUCUAUAAAAGGAUAAAGCUGUUUCUGUAGGAGUAGAUUGUGAUAUGGCAACAUACCUUGUUAUGAUAAAAGAUAAUUAUCUUUUGCAUGUAUGUGGCGUUGUCUAUUUUAAUUGUAAGGAUCCACUAUCCUGAAUCGAGGGUCCAUCUCUUAAAGCCAUUUCAUAUUGCACAUCAUUAACAAAUGAAUGCAAGUAAAAAAUUCCUAUUCUCUUUGAUGUUCAUAGAGGGCUUUUUAAACCAGGGCACAACAGGAUUUUAUUUCCACAAGUUGAUCAACUCCAGUGUUACAUUCUUGGAGACUAGAUAUAAUAUUAGAUAUGAAAGCAUGAUUUUUUUUUUCUUCAACUUCAACAAAACUAGUAUGUUUUAAGAAAUAGUGGUAAGAGAUAUUUGCUGGUAUUUCUUGACAACGAGCCAACGAGUGAUACCACUAACAAAAAUCAAAUCUUGCAUUGUUUAUUUGCAAUAAGUAUAUGGAAAUAUCAAAUUUAAAGUCCAAUCAACUGAGCGAAUUUCAAGUACAUGAAAUAUUUGACACGUACCUAAUAGCUUAUUUCGAGCAACUUGACCUCUGGCAUACCGUUGAAUUUCGAUAGCUGCACGCCUAUAUGACCGUAAUUCCCUGACACUUGUCAGGCAUUGAAGACCCCUCUGAAUGACUACUGCUGCCUUUCUUUGCCGUACAUAGUCCCUCCGAACUAACAACCCACGCCACUGACUCUGGAUUAAUGCAGUAAACAGUUGUGUCACAUUGCAAACAUUAUGCAUGUUAAGAUAAAACUAUGUUAGAAGAUGAAUGAACCGUUAAUAGAACCCAUUUUGUUGGCAUAAAGAGAGCAAUAUGUAUUAAUAGAAAAAGAGAAAAUGAGAUUUAUAUCAGGAAAUAACGGAGGCUCCAACCCUCAUGUAAAUCUUUAAUAUGUUAAUAAUAGAUUCUCCUAUUAAGAAAACCAUUUAGAGACCCCCUCCCAAAAAGUGAUCCCAUGUAAUGUACAAUGUAAUAGAAAUAAGAUAAUGCAGUCUCACACAAUCCAUCACUUGCCAAGGACACGCAAGCAAACAAACAAAUAACAUAAACACAAACACGUAAGGAUUCCAGCUUCUUAUUCAUAAAUAAUGACUGACAACAAAUAUUUGUAGCUGGCAUAAAUCCCAUAAGAAUUCAGUAUACUAAGCUGGAACGUUCCAUAUACAUGUUGAUGUUUUAACACUUGAAUCAAGUUAAUCUAGUAAAAGAUCGGCUUCACUGCCAGGAUUUGAUCCUCAGGGAAGAGGUUGAAUAUAUUGGGAGCUAUGGGAGCAAUGGGGCUGUGACAACCAUUCAGACCCGCAACAGUCACAAUGUUCGUGGAAGAGCAAUGGGAGCUCAAUUUAAACCAACAGAAUGCUUUGAUCCAUCAAAAAGUCAGUUACUCACUUUGCUUAGGAAAACCCAAAAUUAUGUGAUUUUGUUCUGAUUAAAUUCAAUGCUUUUCAUUUCUCAAUCUUAUUCAAGUUCCAUUUCAGUUUCAGUUUCUGUUUGAAACCAAUUUCAUUAGAUACUGUUGUUAUCGAAUUAGACUUUCAAUAAUAAUCUAUGGUAUGCUUUAUUUUGAAUCAUAUAUACAAUGUUUUCGACAGACAUAAAUGGUUAACAUUCAAGCUUCUUAUGUUGAACAGCUGGAAAAAGGUAGCUUUAUUUCUAAACUGUUUACAUCUAUUUUAGUCCAAACUAUAUUACUGGUUAAAGUGAUGGGACAUCAUUAAUGAUAACAUUUACUUCUUCAAAAGCUAAAAUAUAAUUGCCACUAUGGAUAAUUAAAAAACAGUGAAAGAAUUUAGAAGCAGCACUUCAAUAGUGCAUGUCGUAAAGUUUUACAGAGAAUACUUACUUGGAUCAAAAGAAUAAGAUGCCUCCUUUUGUCCGCUUCAUUACGACAAAUCAAACCUCGAAAAUGAGACUGAAUGAUGAUGGCUGCCCUAUUUGCAAUUCUGUAUUGUUGAAAAUCCCUCUGAUAUUUUAAUGAGUGAUAAGCCCCCUGAAUCCUGAUAAUUGCCUUCUUCUGUUGCAAAAAAUGUGUCCUUAUUGUCCAGGCACGCCAAUUAGUCUGAAUGGUUGUCGCAGCAAGACAUUUUCUAAUUAUCGAUUUCCGCCAUCUUCUCCAAGCAAUUAUCAGUGUAACUAUUGUUGUUAGCUGUAGGCUUCUAACUUCCUUCUUUACAUGACCAUGAACAUCUGUAGCUCGAUCAGCAAGAGCCAGAAUUUCCGAAUUUGAUUUACUUUUGCUGUUACGUUUUUGAGUAAUCCAAGUUCUUGCAGCUUGCUGAAUAAUUAAAGCAGACUUUUUUAAGCUGACAAAGCUGUGCCUCUGAACCAAGAACAUGAGAUAUCUUCCAACCAUGUAUGGGUGUUUCUGACAAUCUGUCCAAUUAACAACACAACAUGUAAGUAGUAUAAUCUGACCAAUGGCAGCCUAAAGAGCAUAGAACUGAGUUCAAAGGGAUUGAUUCAGCUGUCUACCCAGAGAAAGCUGUUUGGACAUUGGGAAAGCACAUUUGUUGGUAGCUUUUGUCAUCUUCAAUGUUAACCAUGCUCGAAUUACAGAUUGAAGAAAACAAGCUGCUGACUUGAUCUUUAGAAAUUUGCGGCGUGCAAUCAAUCCUCUAAAAUGAGACUGAAUAGUUUUUGAAGCCUCCCCUGGAGCAAAAAGAUAAUGGUCACUUCAAUUACAGAUUUGAUUUCAAAAGUUGAUCUACAUAAAGAAGUCUUUGUCUCAAAGAACAAAUCAAAAGUAUUAAUACAUUCCUAGCAAAAUAGAGGACACCCAUCCCCCAUCCCCUUUACUUUCUCUCCAGCUCUCCCUCCUCCCAAAUAAAUGAGGAAGAGCUACACAUGCACAAUCCAGAGACAAACAUACAGUAUAUAAAAGAAAAGAAACUAGGAUAUCAACACAGAUAGCAGCGACAAAAGUAGAUUUCUUUAACCAUGUAAAAUCUGAAGGAAUUGCAUCAAAUGGAAAAAAGGGGACUCCAAGUUCAUUGAUAUUAAUUUUGUAUAAGAAUUACCCCUCUGACUUUGAGAUAUCAAGUCUCUGCUAGCUGUAUGACACUGUAAGGGAUUUAUUAGUUUUAUUGCGCAGUUGUUGUGAUGCUUUGCCAUAUCUCUCCACCAAGCCUGAAUAACUUUAAACUUUCUUGCGGCAUCUGUUUAAAUACAAUACAACGAAAAGAUGCUCAGAGUCACAUUUUAGAAGUGUUCCUGAAUACAUAUGAUAAAGCCCGUCACAGUAGAUAAGCCAAAAGAUUACUGCAUAGCAUCAUAUUAUAGCAACCACAACAACAACAAAAAAAAAAAUUUGAGGUUAUUACAGAUUUCAACAUUAUUCAUGGAUAAAUGAAUUACUUCCAAAGACUAAACAAGCAAACCUUCGUUGUAGUACUCGUCCAACCCAUCAUGCUUUACUGGUGCUUCAGAACUCAAAAAACACUUGUGUGAACUCAAACGUUUCACGUCUGGAAUUGAACAACUGCACCCCAAGAGUCUGUGGAUGUUCAUAUGAUCCUAGAAAGAAGCUAAGAGUGUCAACAUCCAAUAUUACUAAAUUUCAUAGCAAAAUACAAUAACGACUUUGCACAAACUAUUAAACAUUACCAUAUGUUUUCGAGCAAUCAGUUGGGAUGAGAGGAAAGCCAACAGAACUAUCACACUCCGUUCAUUACAUGCACCUUUAUGUUCAAGUAUGUCACUAGUUUGCAGAACCUAAGAUAUGUAUUAAGCACAUUAGCACAAAGUUGACAGCGGUGUUUACAUUCCUUAAAAUAAAUUAAGCACUUGCCUCAGGAAAAUUUCCUAGCAUUGUUGUCAGCUUCUGGGAUAAGAUAAAGUUGUGUACCGCAUCUGAACAAUUCAUAGCCCAAAGGUUGGGACCUCCAUGCCCUGUAAUAUGAGCCUUUUGCCAACAAAAUAUGACAAUUGACAAAUAUAAGAAUAGUGAACGGAACUUCUACGGCAUGAGAAACAAAGAUAACAGAGAGAAAUAACAAUUCUACCUUACAAGAAGAAGAACAAUGAAAUUCAUGACGAAAGUAAUAGUCAAUCAUGCACCACAUUGCUUUACCAUCAACCAAAGCUGCAUAAUUAGGAAUCUUGAGAUCAUACUUUAGACAGAUAUCCUGUGACAUCAAGCAACAGGUCAUUGAUAUGAGAUCCUCAAUGUAGUUAGAACAAGUACUUAUCCUAUAUCAUCUUAUGUUACUGAUAUACAAGGUGAAAGUGAAGAACAAAUAAAGAAAAUAAACAAUGAAAAACACAAAUUGAUUUAAUCGACUUUAAUCAUCUACAGAAAGAAGAAAAUGUUUAUCCAGUGAUGUGUCCACUCCAUAUGGCCCCUCCUAAUUGGGCAAACAAAUAGAAGAAAAAAAAAAGGCUCAAUUUGGUAAAAUAACGGCACUGACCAUGUUAUAGAAUAUACAACCUAGGUAUUUUGAUGAUAAUGUUUUUGAUCAGCAAUAUAAAAUAUAAUUAUACUGAUAAAGCUUAAUGAAGAAACAGACAUCCAUAUUUCUAUGUCAACCAUCACUACAAGGUGGGUGAAGGGAUCAAUCAAUGCAAUAUUCAUUAUUCUUGACUUUGAUGCACAACUCAAAAGAGAAAUGCCUUUUAUGAAAAUACUAAAGGAAUAUAAACAAUGAGUUGAAAUAGAGUUAUAGAGAAGGUGACAAAGAAAAACCAUAAUAUAAAAUACUUUUACAGAAUUCACAUUCACAUAAUACUCAGGCUCCUUCAUUACAUUUACCAGAGCGUACUUUUACAGAAUUCACAUAAUAAUACCUGAAUCCAAUGUAGAAUCAUCUCUAAGAGGUUCAAACGUUCGCUCAUUAAACAGUCCUAUAAAACAAAAACAACUGAUCAGUAGAAAACGAUCAGAAAAUAAAUUUCAGCAAUACAGUUUCAUUUUCCAUGCAAAGGUAAUAGGAGCAAGAAUAAAGGAUGGUAAAUAAAGUUAAGGUAGCAGCCAAUUCUGAUCCAUACAACACCAGAUCAAUACAAUGUGAAAAUUCUAUGGGGGGAAAUAGAGGUAACCAUGUAACCUAAUAGUGAUAGCAUUGUCAUGACUGUCAAGGGGUUUGUAUGGAACUGGCUGGGAGGCAGCAACAUGAACAGAGAUCACCACUACCAGGAUCUAGUCUGUGGUUGGAUACACCUGCUCACCCCAUGAUGUUCAGCAUGCUGCAGAUUGUCGCUGCAUUUCCAAUGUACGUUAACAGUGCUUGUGAGUUUUCACAGCCUGGAGUGUACUCUUUGCCAGUUCUAAUUAAAGUGCUUCUUAACAAAAAAGUAAUCCAGGUAAAUGAAAAAUUAUGUUCUUAUUUAUGAUUAUAUAAAGGUAAAGUAGUUACAUGCAGGUAAUUUCGUAGCAUGCAUACGGUUUUAAAUGGUUUAAAAUUUCAAGCAAAGUGGACAUACUCAAAAUCAUUAAACAUACCAUAUCAGUGCCUUUGAUUUUGCGCAUUUCUUCAAACAACAAUGAUUUAUUGACUAGAAGUGGCAGCUGCAGAAUCAAAAGAUUAGCAUCAAUAAUGAUACAGGAAAACCACAAAGAAGAUAAGAUAACUAAAGGCACGAAAAUUCCACAAAUCAUAGAGUAAAACUAAAUCUAAUACCAAUGGAUUAUUUAAUUGAUACAACACCCUCUCAGAACUACUACAAUUUUACAUAAAAUCUUUAAUACCGGAAUCAAUAGCAUAAGCAAAGGCAAUAUCACUCUAUCGUUGAUUUCGAAAAAGAAAAGUUAUUUGGAAGCUCCAGAAACAGAGAAUCAAUAAGUUUUGUACACUUAAAGAUCUAAUUCCAUUUUCCAGUAUAGAAAAUCAUGUGUUAUAAAUCCCAUGAUAGUUUCCAUUGUAUAACAGAAAUUAUAUGAAUUCAAACAAAAUUCUGCUUGCAUAUUUAUACAUAGAGAUAGAGCGUGUGCAAUUCUAAUUUUUUUAGAGAUGAAUCAAACCUGUAAGUGAACAAACAUGUUCCAAAGCAAGGAAAGUGUAAGUUCUUUUUCUCCACUAACAAUAUCUUCAGCUAAUACCAUCACCCCAUCUUCAUCAGAUAAUGGCACUCCAGCCUGCUUGAGAUAUUGCAGGGCAACACCACAAUUGACCAGACUCUUUUUAUGGGUAUCUGAAGGAACCACCAUUUUCUGCCCAUAAGAUCCCAUAAGAUGAAAUCAAAUUCUAGAUUGUUUCCAAAUGAAUACCAAAACCACGACAACGUAAAAUAGUAUAAGCCAACCGUGAGAAUUGAAGUGUCACAUUUCAGAAGUUGAAUGGCUCUACAAAGCCGCACCCCAUCUUGAAGAUCCUCAGACAAGUCUUUCACACUGAAGUCAUAAUCAAGGAGCGGAUACUACAAAAUGGAAAUAACACAGAUCAGUCAAAACAAAAUUUUCAAAAACAUAUGCAAGAGACCUAUGCCAAAUCCCAUUUAAGAUCUCCAGGCAGCACGAAGAAGAAGAGCAUGUGUACCUGUUGAUAGGAUACCUUGUAUCCCACAAUCACUAGGUGCGCAAGAAGGUCACCUUCUCCAUGCAUGACUUCCGAUGUUAAAAAGUCUAAAUGUGAAAACAAAGCAAAAUUAGAGAUUCAGGACCUAUCUUGAAAAAUGGUGUUCAAAACUACAUUAAACAAAUACUAAAAAGAUAAUGAGUUAAAGGUUACCAUGAACAACUUGGCGACUUGAUUUAAUACUAGAAUGCGGAUCAAAUAAUAGAGGAGAACCCCCAUCUAUUCCAUCAAUACCAUACAUAAUAGGAAGGCUACUUUGGGAUUUAGCUCUAUCAAGUAUAAGAACAAGCAGUAAGAACCUCUUCAAUAUAACAUUCCCCAAAGCCUCAAAAUAUCCUGGUCUGUACAGACCCACAACUGACUUGUUAUAGGCAUAUGUUUUAGCAAGGUCUGCAUGUGAAAACAGUUGUGUCUCCACUAUCAUCUUGAGAAAUGAAAGUUCUUGAUCAGAAUUCACAUCGUUGGAUGGUAACAAUGAAUCACCCCCAAAAACAACGUACAGUCCUAUCCGUAGCCACAUCGAGUUAUAACACAUAAGCACACGCAUGGCCUGCUCUCUCAAUCUCACAUCAGUUACUAAAGGACAAUGUACCUUCAUUUUCAGUCUCCCUUCAUCUAUAUUCUGAAAAUAAUCCAUAAACAUAUAUAGUAUAAGUAGUGGAGUCGAAUGUUCAAAUAAUAAAUGGGACUAUAAGUGUGAUGUUCAUGAAUUAGAUAUAAAUUAGAAAGGGUAUUCAUUUCCUAACCUUUGUUACUUUAGUCAUGACUGAAAAAACUUCUUUACAGCUCUCUGAACUCAAAUACUCUCUCAUUCUCAGCUUCAAGUCAUCAAAACUGCAUAUUUCCUGCAACGAAACUUUAAGCGACGAAACCAUUGACGAAGACAACACCAAUGGCACCCCAUCAGAACUCCCUUGAGGCAGCCAAGUACAAUCUCUUUGUCUCUUUGGACUUCUCCAAGGUCCAUUAAUCCCAACUUCACUACUACUACCUGGCCAACUAUCUCUUUUCCCAUUCUUUCUAGAUUCUUCUACUCUAUCUUCCCCUCUUAAUACAGAAACAUCACAACCACAAGCUUUAGGAUUCUCAAACAAGAAAUUCAACCAAACAAAAAUCGUAUUCGAUAAAGAUUUCAAUGAUUUCUCUUUCUGAAUCUGUUCUUUUCUAGAUGAUUGAGAUUGUUCAAAUUCAAAUGCUUUAAGUCUACUAAAAACAUUUUUAGAUUUAGAAGAAGGAACAAUAGAAGAAGAUCUACGACGAAAAGAAGAACGUGGAGUUUGUUUAGAUGCAGUAAAGUAUUGUGGAAUUGGAGAUUGUAAAGAAGGUUUUGGGGUUUUGAAUUGGGGAAAUGGAGAUUGUAAAUUGGAAUUAGGGUUUCGUUUUGGAGUUUUGAAAUUAUUUGAAAUGUCUUUGAAGAUUGAAUUAGAAUUAGGGUUUUGUGAUGGAGAAGAAGAUAGUUGUUGUUGUUGAUCUGUUUCCAUUCUCCUUGUUUAAUUUUCUGAGUUUUUUUUUCGCGAUUUUGUUUGUUGGUGUUCGAAAAGAGUGAUGAGUGUCUGAAUGAGGAAAGUGUGAUUUGAAUUUGAAUCAAUGAGCGGGAUACCACGUCAGAUUGUGAAUACUGGUGUUGCAUAGCUGCAAAUUCUGAAGAAAACUUCGGUCCAUAGCGCUUAAAGUUAGGACCAAACCUGAUUUUGAUAAAAUGGUGGAGAUUUAUAUGGAAAUUCAAAUUUUUUUUCAAUUUUUGAUCUGAUUUUAUCUGAAUUCCAAUUUUUUGAUUUUCGUUGGAAUUAGUUUUGUGCCAACCGAUUUGAUUUUCGAAAAUUUUCAAAAUGAAGGACUUUUAUGAAAUUUACGUAGACCUAUUGAUACAAAUGUGGGUUAUUUUUAGGCAAAGACGUAUUUUCCAAUGAACAUUGUCACGGGAAAACAAGGUGAAUACACUCUUGGGAAAACAGGAGGUUUGGCUAAAAUUAGCCCAUCAUGGGUGUUUGAUAGCAUAGAUAGAAAAAUCGUUUAAUUUUGGCAUUGCUUUUGAGCAUUUGGUCUCAGCUCAUGAGACCUUCGUCCUUCUAGAACCUUCCAGAUAUACUAUAUAUUGAUGGACGAGGUUAUGUGGCUCAUCCAAUAACAUAUGCUGCAUGAGAUAGCUUCUGACAUGCCCUGAUAUGAAAUCAGGUCCUACACUGAGAGCUACUAGUAUCUGAUAUACUUUGGGUAGUUAGUCUAGGAUCCUAAUUUAGCUUCUUGGUUGGAUCCUCACCCAUAUGAGGGUCCUGGCUUGAACCACUUAUUAUCCACACAUCAACAUCCAAAGAAAAUGAGUCGUGUUCUUCUAAAUUCCUACAGUCGAACCUUAAGAAAUUUCUAGAGUCGAACCUUAAGAAAUUCCUAGACUUGAACCUCAAGAAAUUCAAAGAGUCGAACCUCAAGAAAUUUUUAGAGUUAAACCUCAAAAAAUUGAUACAUCUUCUUUAGAAAGAUAUUCAAGGUUACUUCAAGAUAUAUGGAGUUAUCCAACUUCUAAACGUGGGGAUAUUAGGCGUGCCUAUCUCAAGUUUGGACUAUAUCAACUCAAGCCUACGAAAAGUAAUUUUUCCCUCAUGACAAAAAUAAACGUCGAUUUCCGCCUUAUUGGUAUAAGUUAUUUCUGGAUUGGUUAGAAUACUCUCCUACCAAGAAUUGUGCAUUUUAUCUUCUAUGUUAUCUUUUCACUAAAUUGAAUGGUUAUCGUAUAACUAAUGCUUUCACAACUACUGGAUUUUCUGAUUUUCUACGUGGAAGAAAAUUAAUGAAGGGAUAAAGUGUUUUAUGUUAAAAUAUAUGGGAAUGGAUCCGAAUUCUCAUCAUAAAGUUGUUUUUGCAUGAUUAUGGUUUGAUGAAUCAAUUACAACACAUUGAGAUUAUUAUGGAAAAGCAAAUUUGUGAACAAGUUGCAAGAAAUCGCUUGCGGGUGAGAACUAUAGUCGAUGCGGUUAAAUGACUAACAUUUCAAGGUUGCACUUAUGGAGAAG
rnacentral:lncRNA from 1 species